AGUGAACGCUGGCGGUAGGCCUAACACAUGCAAGUCGAACGGCAGCACAGUAAGAGCUUGCUCUUACGGGUGGCGAGUGGCGGACGGGUGAGGAAUACAUCGGAAUCUACUUUUUCGUGGGGGAUAACGUAGGGAAACUUACGCUAAUACCGCAUACGACCUACGGGUGAAAGCAGGGGAUCUUCGGACCUUGCGCGAUUGAAUGAGCCGAUGUCGGAUUAGCUAGUUGGCGGGGUAAAGGCCCACCAAGGCGACGAUCCGUAGCUGGUCUGAGAGGAUGAUCAGCCACACUGGAACUGAGACACGGUCCAGCAUCCUACGGGAGGCAGCAGUGGGGAAUAUUGGACAAUGGGCGCAAGCCUGAUCCAGCCAUACCGCGUGGGUGAAGAAGGCCUUCGGGUUGUAAAGCCCUUUUGUUGGGAAAGAAAAGCAGCAGGUUAAUACCCCGCUGUUCUGACGGUACCCAAAGAAUAAGCACCGGCUAACUUCGUG
rnacentral:rRNA from 1 species